AGGACGAACGCUGGCGGCGUGCUUAACACAUGCAAGUCGAACGAGGCCCUGCCUUCGGGCAGGUGACCUAGUGGCGAACGGGUGAGUAACACGUGGGCAACCUACCCUCAGCUCUGGGAUAACCCCGGGAAACCGGAGCUAAUACCGGAUAUGACCAGGAACGACAUCGUUCCUGGUGGAAAGUUUUUCGGCUGAGGAUGGGCCCGCGGCUAUCAGCUUGUUGGUGGGGUAAUGGCCACCAAGGCGACGACGGGUA
rnacentral:rRNA from 1 species